UUGAAGGCAACAUUGAGAUC
rnacentral:piRNA from 1 species